GGCCGGGUAGCUCAGUCGGUAGAGCAGGGGAUUGAAAAUCCCCGUGUCGGCGGUUCGAUUCCGUCCCCGGCCACCA
rnacentral:tRNA from 18 species